rnacentral:rRNA from 1 species
GACGAACGCUGGCGGCGUGCCUAAUACAUGCAAGUAGGACGCAGUUGCGAACGGGAGAGUAACGCGUAGGUAACUACCUAUUAGAGGGGGAUAACUAUUGGAAACGAUAGCUAAUACAGCAGACUAGUAGAUGGACCUGCGUUGUUUUAGCUAGUAGGUAGGGGAAAGGCCUACCUAGGCAACGAUACAUAGCCGGCCUGGGAGGGUGAUCGGCCACACUGGGACUGGGACACGGCCCAGACUCCUACGGGAGGGAGCCGUAGGGAAUCUUCGGCAAUGGGGGGAACCCUGACCGAGCACCGCCGCGUGAGUGAAGAAAGUUUUCGGAUCGUAAAGCUCUGUUGUUAAGGAAGCGGUACUUAACCAGAAAGGAACGGCUAACUACGUGCCAGCAGCCGCGGUAAUUC